UGGGGAAUAUUGGGCAAUGGGCGAAAGCCUGACCCAGCAACGCCGCGUGGAGGAAGAAGGUUUUCGGAUCGUAAACUCCUGUCCUCAGGGAAGAGAAGGAGACGGUACCCGAGGAGGAAGCCCCGGCUAACUACGUGCCAGCAGCCGCGGUAAUACGUAGGGGGCGAGCGUUGUCCGGAAUUACUGGGCGUAAAGGGUGAGUAGGCGGUUUUUAAGUGGAUGUGAAAUACCCGGGCUUAACUUGGGGGGUGCAUUCAAAACUGGAGAACUAGAGUACAGGAGAGGAAAGCGGAAUUCCUAGUGUAGCGGUGAAAUGCGUAGAUAUUA
rnacentral:rRNA from 1 species